AUCCUCUGAGCUCAGGACGGUCCAGUUCUCCAUACUGGGUCUGUCAGCCGAGCGAGGAGGCAGAACAGAUCCGAGCAGCGGUGUGACCCAUUCCACCCCCAGCUGCAGCGUAGCUCUGUGGUGGAAGACAUCCCUGCUACAAAC
rnacentral:snoRNA from 1 species